rnacentral:lncRNA from 1 species
CAAAGAUCUCAUCUGAGAGCUGCUGCCGGCAAGACUGAAGACUGCACCAGCUUUAACGUUCUGCAUGGUGAACCAGUCAUAGGCUGUUCCCAGGUGAUGCUGUUAGGAAGUGGCAAGAGGGGCUCAGAGCAGGGAGCAGAGAGCCGUAUGACCGCCGCCUUUGAAGGGAGCAUUUUGUUUUAGGUUUCGAUAUUAAGGUUUAAAACCUUCCAGAGAAAAGAACUUUGUAAGUAUGGUACAUAA